rnacentral:rRNA from 1 species
GUACGGGAGGCAGCAGUGAGGAAUUUUGGACAAUGGGGGCAACCCUGAUCCAGCCAUGCCGCGUGCGGGAAGAAGGCCUUCGGGUUGUAAACCGCUUUUAGUCGGGACGAAAGCUGCACGGAUAACACCCGUGCGGGUUGACGGUACCGGCGGAAUAAGCACCGGCUAACUACGUGCCAGCAGCCGCGGUAAUACGUAGGGUGCGAGCGUUAAUCGGAAUUACUGGGCGUAAAGCGUGCGCAGGCGGUUCGUUGUGUCGGCGGUGAAAGCCCCGGGCUUAACCUGGGAACGGUCGUUGAAACUGGCGAACUGGAGUGUGGCAGAGGGGGGUGGAAUUCCGCGUGUAGCAGUGAAAUGCGUAGAGAUGCGGAGGAACACCGAUGGCGAAGGCAGCCCCCUGGGCUGACACUGACGCUCAGGCACGAAAGCGUGGGGAGCAAACAGGAUUAGAUACCCUAGU